GUUCAGUUAGCCUGGCGCGUCUCGUUGAGUAGGAUGCGGUCUGUUGUUAAGGGUACCGGUUGGUGAAAAUAUUACGAUAAAAUUCCGAGUUUGCUUUUUCCUAAAUGCUUGAGUUACAUCUGAUAAUAUUGAUAAGAUAUCUUGCGUAGACUGUUUGAGGUUAUAUGGGAGGUUAAUUCGUAAGUUAAAUUUACACGUUUCACGUAAAGAAAAAAUUAAAAGUUAUCUGGCUGACAGUAAACAGCAAUUUUAGUUUUUGAUUGAACAUUGAUUAUUUUAUUAAAACUUGAGACACUGUUUCAAAGCUUGGUUCGAUGUGUAGUAAGGAAUAAUUUUGUUUGAUUCCUGAGGACAGAAGGAUCAAUUAGAAAAUUUGCUGUCCAAAAUAACCCUAAUCAUGAAUAGGCUUAGAACUAUAAUAGUGUUUCUGCUGUGUUUAUAUUUUAAUGGACUUAAUCCAGAAGAAAGUGUUGACAACGGAAGUUUGGUCACACCAUCUUUCUCCCUUGACAGUCAAAUAAAAGGAUUUAAUAGUACAAAUCUAACAUCUGGAAUAAUAGUUUUAGUGGAUGAAAGAACUCUGUUUAUUGCAGAUAUUUAUCAGAAAAAUGUUCGAAGUAUUAAUCUAGAAUUUUGGGCAGGUGCAGGUGAUAGUCCAGAGAACGAUAGCAGCAAAAAACUCGUAGCAAAUAAAACGGAUUUGGCUGUGUCGUCUAAUAUUUAUAUCACUCUACCGACAGAUCUGAGCUUAGAUGUCAUCAAUUAUUUAGAAGUAUCUUUGAACAAUCAGUCAUUGGCAUAUGUAAAUUUGAGUGAAAUUAAUAGGACCGCAAUACCAACUUAUAAUCAGCAUAACCAGAAAGAUACAAUUUACAGAUUACCAAAAUGUUGCCCACCGGACCAAUAUAUCAAUUUUUCAACGGAAGGUUGCGUUCAGGCCGUAAGAGAAGUGCAGCUCAAUAUAACCCUCUUUGAGAGCAACCAUACCGGUCUAGAUCCAAACGUUACAGUUAAUCCUUCUGAAUAUCAAUUGGCGCCUUAUUACCAAAUGCCCAAUUGUUCACGAUUAGGAGAAUUUUACAGACUAGUAGAAACCAUAGAUAUACAAGGAAUCAUUUAUAACUCUUCACUAAUUAUUGAACACUUUGGCAUACUAUCUCAUCAGAAUUUUUGCAUUGAUGUUGUUAUAGACGACUAUCCCAGAGACCUGAUCUGUCAUUGUCACUAUAUACCUUUGGUUAAUCCUGAUCCAAAUUUUUAUUUACCAGUGUUGAGUUUGUCGGUGGUUGGUUUUGCAUUAUCAGCUAUAGCUUAUGGAUUAGUUUUAAAGGCUAAAGAUUUACACAAAAUUUCUUUGGCUAUUUUCUGCUCUUCCAUGUGUAUUGCUUUUAUAUCCUUGAUAAUAAUGCAAAUUCAAAGCAAUCAUGUAGCCUGUAAUAUAUUUGGAUCUGUGUUUUUAUUAACGUUAGUAAUGUCCUUUCUGUGGCUGCUAAUUUUGUGCCUAGAACUACUAUACUUGGUGAAAUAUCCUAUUGAAGAAGAACGCCAGGAGACUAGAUGGCAAUGGUACACAGGAUUGUCUGUGGGAAUUUCAAUUUUUCUGUUUAUAAUUUCGCUAGUUUCUGGAAGUUUAGGAGUCCCAGAUGUACCAAGCAAUAUAAUUAAAUACUAUGGAAUAUAUCCAGAUGUUUGUAUGUUUGAUACCUCAGCCGACAGAGCAUAUAUUGUAUUCACACCAAUAAUUAUUUCAAUAGUUGGGUCAAUAAUAAGCCUUAUUGUGUUGCAGAUAUUCUUUAAUAAAAAUGAAAAUAACGGACACAUAAGAAAUCACGUAGACUGGAUGUUUAACUUUAAUAGUUACAAAUUUCUGUAUGUGGAAUCCAAUAUUGUACUCCUCGGUGAAAAUAUUCUCAAAUACUUUUUCGUCGACGACAUUUUUUCUUUACGAAAGAUGAUCCAUCUUUGAAGUAAAUUGGAUAAGUUUUUGAACUCCUGCGGCAAAUAUACACGAUUUGAAUCUUUUCGAGAAUAGUGGAAUGGAAUGGCUGGAAGGGAUUUAACAAGGUAUUUCUGACGUUGUGGCUAAAUUAACUAAUAUUUUAAUUAUAUUCUUAAAACCAUAACAUUUUUAUUCCAGUGCCAUUCAUUUUUAUCUGAAAUGGAACCGUUUAUUAAAAAUUUUAAAAAAAAUUAUUUAAAGCAGGUUUUAUCCAACAUUUUGCAUAGUCGUAAUUGUAAUCAGUAUUACAGUACCACUUUGAUAUGUAAAUCGGUUAUGCUUAUGACAUGUUUAACUUUUAUGAUUAAAACUGUGAUUAUGACUAAGACUAAAUAUUUUUUGUAUGAAUCCGGACUUCUAAAACGAUUUUCCACUUAGAAUAACAAAAUAAUAAGGCACAUUUGGCUUUCUUUUUUUUUAAAUUAGGUAUUGGAAUUUUUAAUCUAAUGACAAGUCUUUAUAUUUUAAAGGGACCCGAUAAUAACCGGAAAAGUGUAUGAAAUUUUUGUAAAUUUUAAAUGGUAUAUUGCACUGUUUCUCGCACAAUGCCUAAAUGUGGGUUCCAGGGUUAUGAUUAUUAGCCUUUAUUAGGGCACGCAAAGAAAACGCAGCUUUAUAUCGUUAAACCCAGCUUUAGUAUUGAAAGAUAAAUCAAUGUCAUAAUUGACAACUAAUUUAAUCUAUAACCUCAAUUCAAAAAAAAAAUAAAUACAAAGACAGUAAUGCUCUAAUACUUAAGUUAUAAUUAUGAAAUUUAAAAUCAUGAGAAAGAAAAUAAAGUAAAAUUUAGCACUUAAUACUUAUUCAAUUGUACAUCUGAUAAUACCUCGCAUAUACGUAUAUACUCAGUUCCCAAUUUCAAAUCAAAUCAGUGAUGGUGGUUAUAUAAACAAUUUUACUAAAUUGAAUUUAAAAUCUGUGAUCAUUUCUACAUAUUAAUUAAAAAAAAAAAAUAAUCUAUAAAUUGCGACGAACCGAUAAAUCAAUACCUGGAGAAACCAAGCCAAAAAGAAAAAGGGACUACCUGAAAUUCUGAGUAUCUCCGACUGGUAGCAGGGCCCACCUGAUCUGAAUGGGGCUCCUUUGUUGGCAACUAUACGUUUGGGUCAAAAGAGGCAGCAGCAGAUCGACCAGUUAGGAUGCUUCCAGAAUGUCUAGCAGGUAGUGGAGGGCAAUCGGUAUUAGGUGUAGCCGAUUGGAAGGAAUGCAGGUUCCGGAGGUGAUGAUCCAAGCGACUUGAUGUGGUAACACGUGGAGUAGCAAGUGAGGUGGAAGCAGUAACAAUAAAAAUGCAGCAAAAGCAGAAGCAGAGGAUAAGCAGAAAGGUACAGGAAGGCCUAAAAAUGGGGACCACACAUGAGGUUCGACAUGGCUGUCAAUUUUAUGGCAUUUUUGUGUGGAUCGGGUAUGUUAGGAGGGACCAUCUUAACGGUAUCAUAUCUGUGUAGUAUGUAUAUUUAUGUAUGAUUUUUAAAUAAAUUAUUUUAUGAAACUA
rnacentral:misc_RNA from 1 species